rnacentral:tRNA from 1 species
GUGGGUAUAGCUCAGUUGGUUAGAGCGCUGGAUUGUGGUUCCAGAGGUCGCCGGUUCAAAUCCGGUUAUCCACC